GCUUGUGUGGCUCAAUGGCAGAGCAGCUCAUUCGUAAUGAGCAGGUUGUCGGUUCGAUUCCGACCACAAGCUCCA
rnacentral:tRNA from 1 species